GCUCAGCCCUGCCCUCAGCAGAGCCCUGCCCUCAGCUCCCGGCCGACCGCGGGCGUGCGGGCUGCAGCGGGGGGACGAACCGCUCGCUGGCUCCGUGCGGGUGCGCUGAGCAAAGCCUAAGUGAGCCUCUGCUGCUCCGUGUGUUCGCACGGGCCUUGCCGGGUUCUAAAUAUGAAGCGCUGAUUGCGCUGUGUCCCGUGCUUUCUUCACCCGUACUUUCUAUUGUCCCUGCGUCGGGAACCUUUUGGGUGAGUGGGAAAGCUAUGAGAAAUUCUGCGCUAAGCUGGUGCAGAAGUCGUGUGGCAGCAUGGAAACAGCUUGGGCUCAGUGAUGCCCUUCUUAGUGGGGGGAAUGGUGUGCUCGUGUGAGCUCCAGGCAGGGGCUGCUGCUGAUGCAGAUGUGGCAGAGCCCAGAGGAGGCACAAACACACACCUCUUGUUUGACUUGAGCACUGAUCCUGCAGCAAUUAAGGGAUGGAUAUCAGUAAUUUUGUAGGCAGGUGUCCGUUAGGAGAAGGGGGUUUAAAAAUAAAUAAAUAAAUAAAAAUAAAAAUCAAAGUUUUGGCGCAUCUUAAUUAACUUGUCAGUCUAGUUAACAGAUAACCAAACCUGCAGGAACUCUGCAGAGCUGAAACAACAACACUUAACGAGAACUUACUGUGGGAUUGCAGCUGACUUGAAAAUGUAGCUCAGAGAGAACAGAAGACAAAGCUGAUAAGAAGGUGGAAGGAUUGCAACAGCCUGCGAAGCCAUCUGCUCCAACAAACGUUCAUGGCAAAAGGAGGGAAGGAUGUAUCUAGCAGCAACCAGCAGCAGCUGUUUGAGAGGCAAAGCCAAAAGAAGGGCAGUAUCUCCUGUGCUCUGGUUUGACUCCAUUUACCGUUAAGCUGAGAUAACUUGCUGCCAAAGUCUCAAGUAGCAGGCCAUCCAGCCUAGCAAAACACAGAGGCCCCAAACAAAAGGCAAGUACUCUCAGCAUUGAUUUUGAUGCUUGCCAAUUUGAUGCUGCCUCUUCUAGGCCAAAAUCUCAAGUGCCUGCAUGCUGCCACCUGAGAAGACAUUUUCUAAGAUCUCCGUGCUGCGCCAGCCCUGCCUGAUGAAGUUCAGAGGUAAGACAGGUGACUGCUUAGCUGGAGUGGUACAAUGAAGGAUCAGGGCAUGUGUUAAUGGAAGUCAGAGGUUAUUUAAUUGGAAGCCUAACUUAAUCAGUAUGUGUGUCUAGACAUUGAAAUAGAAACAAGGUCUACCCAUAUUCUAGGGAUUGUGCACUAGGCAUAGAAUUAUUUAUAAAAGGACUGUUUUACAGGAUUAAUAAGAUGAUAUAUUAAAUUCCAUCUUCUUGACAUUCAUACAGUCAGGUCAGAUUUGGUGUUUUUUUUCUUUGACUUUAGGUUAGUUAACUGUCAAGACUCAAAUUUCAAACACAUGUAAAUUGUGCUGUAUCCUAGUUACUGUUCUCUGAGUGCUUAUUUUUAACCAGGCACCGAAACUUCUAAAAUUCAAGCUGUUAGUUAGGUGACACUGCAUGGCCAGUAAUUAAUGUCAGUAUAUCAGACUUUCACUGUCUGCUUCAUAUUUAAAGUUAAUGCUUCUGGUCCCCCGAGGACAAGACAAUAUGUGAAAUGCAAGGGAAGAAAGAUACCACAGAGAUUUAGUCCCUUAAGAAGGCAAGUUCAUUUAUGCUAUGGGCAAAAACAAUGUUUCUAAGCAUUUUCUCCAGUAUUGCCCUUGGUGUCUGAAAGUCAGUUCUCAGCACACUAAGACAAGGUGCACAGUGAAGUCUGAAUGUACCUAUUUUCUUCUUGGUGAUUGCUAUACACAGUCAGUAUACUUUUGGCAUUUCUAUCUUGAGUUUGUGAUCCAUUUAAUACACACCUGGUUUGUUUGUAACUUCAUGAAGCUGAUAUCAAAGAGAUAGGAAUCGAGGGGACAGCAUGAAGUAAAGAAUAAUAAAAGUAUUUUGUAUCCAUAUGUUCCCUGGUAGAGAUUCAGAGGAGGAAUAGCACUAUUUUUUAUUUUUUAAGAAAUGACAAACUGUAUGCAGGUUACAGCUGUUAGCAUUGCACAACUAAUGAAGUUAAUCCUUUCUUCUGCUCACCACACAAACGUGAUCCUAUCACAGUGUUUUACAGACUCAGUAUCUGCAGGAGUUAAGAUUUCAUUGAUUCACUCCUGAACUUAACCAUUCUUACUGUAAUUUCCUCCCUCCCCCAACGUCUUGUUGGAAUUUCCCUUGUUAUGACUUGCAGUUGUUGCCUCUUGUCCUUUCUCAGUGAACUUGCAGGAAGAAUCUGGCACCUUUUCUAUAGGUGUGUUUAAAGUAAUUGAAGACAGCAAUUGCAUAAUCCCUCAGCCUUUCCUUGCCCGCGCUUGGACAAGCCCAGUUCUCACCCCCGAGGCAGUGCAUGCCAUCAGCUUGACUUUCACCAUAACACUGUGUAAGGAACUUGCAGAUACUGUUUCCUUGAACCAUAUAUGAGGAACCCUUCUGAUGCCCACAGGUGGGUCUGUGGUUGCAGGAACUUCUUACCUUAACAGCCAUCUACAGGACAGCAGUUCUGCAAGGGGAAGGUUACCCUCUGUGACUUAGGUCUGAUUUCAUUCCAGUGCACAGAGAGUUAACAUCUUUUGUGAGCUAUUAGGUAUAUAUAAGAGGAAGUAAAGCACCAGCAUUUGUAAUCAGUUAUUUUGAAUGCCAUUCGUUCCCAGUGGACAUUCCUGAAAGGCAGUUCUUGCCAGCAUGUCAACUGGAUGCCUUUUCUCUGAAAUGCUGGAGUUCCCCCCAGCCUUUGCCAAACAAGCCUUUACGACCUGGAAAGUCCCCAGCAUGGGGUGUGCUAGGGUGAGACCUUGGUGCCCCUGCUCUUUCUUGGAAGCUGCAAGCGUUGGAGCAUCCUAGUGCUCAUCAGGCCAGCGUUGCUGGCUGCUGGAUAAAUGCAUGAGUUAAUUCUCUCUUCGAUCUUUACUAGCAGCUUUCAUACAGCAUUCCAUAGACUCCACAGCCCUAUUAAAUUCCCUGUGACAAUUACAAGAAUUUGCCUUCUGGAAAGACUAAUUCAUGCAAGAGCUUUAAUGAGUGUUUUUCCCCCUCCCUGUAGAUCUGUGCUUAAAAAUCCUCUCUCAUGCUGAUACAAAAACACAGUUGCAGAUUAUAUCUUUAAAAAUACAGUUAUGUUAGCGUGCGUCGCAGGACUGAGUCUCUUAUCAAGCUGGUAAUGAAUUCACUGUUUGCUGCUAAAUGAAUGCUCUGAUUAUUUUUCAAUGCAUUGCAUUACAUACAUUUGCAAUUCCAUUCUUAGUGAGGCUCUGUUGGAAAAUGUGCUGAUAUGAAAAAAAUUAUUUUCAUGUUCUGCUAUCAUUUAGGAGUAAAUGGAGUGCUAUCUUCCAUUUUUUUGUAUAACACUGUAGACUAGCCAUCUGCUCUAGUCACUGCUUUCAUUACUAACAGGAGAAUUUAUUUUUAGGUUCACAUAGUGUGUAAUGCUCGUAUAUUGAUGCUGAUCCUCAGUGUAUGCUUAAAAAAUUAGCUGUUCUUUAUUAUUUAUGAAAAAAACAACUAUUCAAGAAUAACAGAAGGAAAGCAUAAACAAACUAUCCUUGUUUGAGGAAAAAUCAUGGUUUUGCUUCGUAAGCUACUUUACUAGCAGCCUAGUGAAGCUGUUCAUGCUUGAGGCAUUUACAGCUCAAGGAAUCCUCAGAAACAUGAGUGAGUCAUCAAAUUAUUCCUCGUUGCUGCUUAGGGAGCUGAAACAAUGAUCAGCCACCUAGUAAUAAAGGAACACUGUGCUGCUGAUUAUAGGUUAUUGUAUGAGUUAUCAGUGUGACCUCAAUAUUUCACUGAGAUGCAAAUUUUUAAUUACUAAUCUAGACUGGGUUGAUUUUUCUUUUCUUGCCGGUCUUGAGACGUUGUAAUGGGGUGUAAUUUUUCAAAAGAUAUGUUUGUAGCAUAGUGUUAGUGCUAUCCUGCUCAAGUGUUCCGAGCAAGACAAAUGGAAGUACUUCAAAUCAUAAGUCACCAGUAAUGAGGGUGCUUGUGGCUCUACUGCGAGAGGUUAAACAACGUUGUUCAGCGGUUGGCAUUCUGGUUAGGAUAUCAGACAGCGCUGUGGCCCUGUGAUAUUUGUGGUGCAGAUGAUACGAAGCGUUUUAAAUAAUGUGUAGAACAGCUAACAGUAUGUUCGUGUAACAUUGCAGCUGUCAUAGUGGUAAAUCAGUUUUGGUACCUGAUUCUUGCUUAGCGUUAAGGUUAACAAAAACAACUUUUUAAAGAAGAAAGCUCAAAAGCCAUCUUGCGGUGCAAGCAUACUUCUCAAAACACAGUUCAUUUAUGCUAGUCUUUUAAUUGACUGUAAAGCAUAAUUAAACUGCACCUUAAAUGUAUACGGAGCUGCUCUCUUCUUAAAGGUAAGGUCUUAGGAGUAGCAGAUCACAUUUUUUCAAGAAAUAAGCCUGAGAAUCACUAUCUCAAAAUCAGAACUGUGUCUUUCAGCACAUACUCUACUUGUCAAAACUGAUUUUAUGUAUCCUUGAGUGAAGAGUUCUCUCUCUCUCUCUCUUUUUUUCCCCUCACAACCUUGUCCUAUUUUCCCAUUUUUAUUUUCUGCUUUAAUUUCUUCCUAUUAAUUUUCCCUCUUCCCCUCCUUGUGUUCAUUACCUUCCAAUAUGUAUGACCGAGUAUCACUGCUUUUAUAUAUCUUCUAGCCUGACUUGUGAUUUCACUUUGAUUGCCACAACUGUAGGGGCACUUUAAAUUAACCUAAUGCAUAUCAUCAUUGGAAUUGUCAGUGUUACCAUAUAAAAUACGGUGUUGUCUCCCCUUGGCAUACAGAUCAGUUAGCAUUCAGUGUUGAUUCUAUGCAUCUUAGAGGACCAUUUAAUAGUUAUAUAGGAAUCACAGGAUCAUUAAGGUUGAAGAAAACCCAGUAAGUCCAUCAGGUCCAACUGCCAUCCCCUCCCCACCAUGCCCUCUGAACCAUGUCCCUGAGUGCCAUGUCUACUCCAGUAAAUAGUCUCCACAAAAUUGUGCUGUGUUUUUACAGCUGGAAGAAGUAAGUUCUCGUCACAAUUAGUGAAGUUCAUUCCAGUGCUAUAAUCAUACUAUGUGCCUUUAAAUAAAAUUUAAAACUGUGAAUAAUAAAACAAAUUUCAUAUAUCUUAACUGCUGUGUUAUGUGCAGUUUCCUGUACCAUCAGCGCGGCUGAUUCCAGCAUUUGGAUUUUAAGUCGUAAGCUUAGCCUCUGUGUUUGUGCAUAUUCACCAUCUUGGUAUUUUAUAUGUAAAUCUCAGGAUUUCACUACCAUGCAUAUUCCCCUGCAAGUACUUCUCUGCCACAGUGCAAAUCUCUGUGAGCAUAGCCUUGAUGAAUUUUUACAGAUAGUUUUAUUCCAGUUGCAUGGCUAAGACAUUUCGUGUAUGUGUGCCAAGCUGUCAAAGCUGCAAGGAUCUAAAUGAGGCCAGAGCUGCCACCCUUAGGAAACAGAGAACACAGAGAUUUGAGGGCAUGAUGCUCGAGAGCUGUAAUAUCUUGCUGCAGUGUAGUUUAGGUUUCUUACUGAAGGACUGGAAUGCUUAAGGAAUGAGCGCGAGUCCAACGUAACUGGAUAUUGUGAGGUUUAUUUCUGUGAACAAAGAGCAAAACUGUGCCAGUUUGUUUAGGGCAGAACUGGAAGAAUGUCAGGCAUACUGCUAAGGGUGCAUCUUUUUUGUCUGAAAGGAUAAAACCUACUCAUUAUUAGUGCAAUAAUGAAGGUGCUAGAGCAGUCCAGUUGUAAAUGAGUUACACCCUUUGCGGUUUUGCUAAUUCUCAGUGUGCUGUGAUCCCUCGGUGUGCAUGCACCAUCUCAACUGUCUCACUGAAUGCUAAUGAGCUUCUACCGAAAGUAAUCACAGAAAGACAUCUCUUCCACAUCAACACCUAUUACCAGCUCCAAAAUUGGUUUGUUAAGCUUACUGGGGAUAUGCCUAUAGCUGUGUAGCUGCCUGUAAAAACUGGAAGUCACAGCAGGCUCUGUGAAAUAGAGCAGUAAGAUGGACUUAAGGACUAUCAUGUCGUGCCCUACCAGGGAGAUGUCUGAGUAUUUACCAAAUACAUUGCAGCUAUCCCUAAGGCGGUGUAAAGACAAGGUAAAAACGAAGGAACAAACUGCAUAUGGAAGUCCAUAUAUUAACAACACAGUUCCUAUAAUUAGAGGCAGGCAGGAAGCAAUAUAUUAAGAACACACUUAUAUCUAGCAGUGCCUUAGAUCAGCUCUGAGAUUUUCUCUGCUUCCUCCAGCAAUCCAGCUGACAGAUGGUGUCAUAGCUUUGUGGCUGAGAUCCAGAAGUGAAAUGCAUGUCUUGGGUUUAGCUAUCACUAAAGGGAAUCUUGAGUUGGAAUGUGUGUACCCAAGCUGUCCCCAGCUUUUCAUUCAGGCCUUUCUCUUCCAAGAAUUUCCUGUGAUUGGUAACUUUGGGUUCACAACUCAUUUUAGUACUCCUCCUAGGGUUUAGCAUAUCUCAACACUGUCUUUAGAAAUGCUUUUUUCCUUAGAUGGAGUAAGCUGGAGUCAUCUUCUGCCUGUUUGAAAAAUGGGGUUUCUUAAUUAUUCUCCUGGUACAUCAGUAGAAAGAAGUCACAAACCUGCAGUUUACCUAUUGGAAAUAUUUCCUCUAUUUUGAUGUGUUCUUUACACAGUGAAACUUCUUCCAUGUAAGUUGCCAACUCUGUCUUUUAUGAAACUACAAGUAAGCAUGUGAUUUAUUACUAUUUCUUGUUCAGGAUUAAGACACAGUCAUAAUCAUACACAUCCAGGAUGAGUAUAAGCUUAAAAGGAAUUAGGUUAGGAAGAAAUUCUUUACUCAGAGGGUGGUGAAGCCCUGGCACAGGCUGCUCAGAAAAGCCCCAUCCCUGGCGGCAUCCAAGGCCAGGUUGGAUGGGGCUUUGGGCAGCCUGAUUUACUGGGUAGCAACCAUCCCACAGCAGGGUGCUGGAACUGGAUGGGCUGUAAGGUCCCUUCCAACCUAAGCCAUUCUAUGGUAUCAACUUUGGCAUUGGGGAGUCUGUGAUAACAACAGCUGCUUUGCAAGAGCUGGAUUAAUAUACUUGUUGGGAAUCAUCUGAAUCAGCUUUAUAGCUUUUGAUAAAAGCUUCUGUUUUGUUACAGUUCAUUCUUUCAUUGUGCAAUGCAUUUCACAGUUCACAUCCAUCUGCAAAUGUAUUUUUUU